UAGAGGCCCACCCAAUCACACACGAUGAAUGAAUACCGGUCAAUAACUAUAUUUCAAUGUUGUUUAGAUUAUGUGACUGUUGUAAUUCAAACAUUUAAUUGCUUUUGGGUCAUGUAUCACUUGAUGAUAAUUCUGUUUCUGAAUGGCAACGGCAACAUUUUGUAAAAGGACCUCAACUCCCCUCCGCCACUCCGCGUGCAGCAGAGCCCGUCAAGCUAGCUGCUUUUAGCUAGCCUCCAGUGUAAAUAACGGCCAAACAGACCAUCUUCAUUAAGUCUGUCACAACAAUGCCGUGGGGAAGAGAAAAAGUUCAAAGUCAGCCGUCGCUUUCAAAGCGGCACCGUGACGCGGGCUAUCAUCAGUGUACGGUUAAGUAACUGAUGUGAAUGGUAAUUCAGCCCCAAAUCAACCUGCAGCAUACUUUCUCCUGUGGUGGACUUCAUAGAGUCUACGGACAUAAAGUUAACCCCCAAUGACUCAUUUCCAAAGAUGAAUGGUGUCCUUCCCGCAGUCUCUCUCAACAACACUUAAAGGGUCUCUCAACAUUCAAGACGAGAGGUCAUCUGACAGACUCCACUGCUCAGAAAAACGGAACAUGAGCGAAAGGUCAACGAUUUCUGCCAGCCAGACAGCAAAUACGUGGAGCUGCAGCUGGGCUGUGACAGAGACUAAUGGUCAGACUUUGCCAUGGGGACUGCUGCUGCUGUCCACUAUCAUUAGUCAACAGCUCAAAACUUGCUACACAGCCUGCUCACCGUCUUCCUGCUUUAAUUUGUGGGCCCAUCCAUCACAAAGUAUUAACUGAGCAAAAGAUAUGGUUGAAAUCUGGCCAGAAAUCUAAUCUAGCCUCCAUGCACCCGGCCGAGUAUGACACCACCUCACCGGAGCAUGUUUGCAUGCUACAGGUGUCAUCUCUGUGUCUCACUGUGUCUCGCGGUUUUGUUCCUGUGCUCAGCCAGGCUGCCCGCCCGGCACUGUGACUGACCCAUGAUGCCUUGGGCUUGACGCGUUGCCACGACAACGAGCCAAAUAGCCACCCAUCUUGUGAAGCAUGCAGGCCUCGCUGGGCCUUCUUACUGAUAGUUGUUUUCCUCCUUCCCCUUUUAAUGUCUGACAGUCUUUAUCUUUGUAUCAUGUGUAAGUGGAUUUGUGUCUGGGAUUCGUUUGAUAGAUGAGAGCAGUUUCACAGUGAGGAGGUUUCCUGCAACUCUUUGUAUUGUGUGGCCUAUUUUUCUGUUGAAACUUUGACAUUAUGUGCUUUUGUGAGUCUGUUUACUAAAUUUAGCACAGAUUUUUCUUGAUGUUAAUGAUGUAACAAGCCAUCCUCUCAAACACUCAAUGCACAUUAGGACUAUAUGGAGAAUGGUAUUGUACAAUAAUCUAAUACAGACAACAAAAUGUU